CAGGAGCAGAAAGAGUACACCACAAAGGAAAAUAGACGACACUUUGUCAACACUCAACCACCACAACGCUCACAAGUGAAAAAGGAGAUACAACCAAGGACACCUGCCCACUCAACAAGCUCAUUGGCACCCCACAAGACACACAAUACACAUGGCUGUAAACCAUAACACAUUGAACACGGAAGUGACAAUGAUCAUAAACACAGGCACAACACUACUGAUCACACACAACACCACUCACACACCUCUACACCUCACCUUACCUAAAAUGAAGACGACAAUCAUAACCCAACCAGAGCCAAUGGUCGGGCACAACCGACAAGACAGAAUAGGACCACACCCUAACGGGGUUGACACAGCUCCAAAUAUAUAUGGGAGAGGCCUUAGGCCAAAAACAUAGGCAAAUGCAUGAAAUCAAUCCAGUGAAAAGGUGACAAACUGCAUAACACCUACGGGAGUGGAAAGAGGUCACGUGGGAAUCUACAUGCAGAGGCCUCAGGCUAAAACAUUCAGAGAGAUACACUAGCUAUCCAUGAGAACCUCACGAGAAUGCAUGUCACACAAACGUAAUGCUCAUGAUCUUGCUAUGAUGGUGACCUGUGUGUCCCACCUGAUAUACC